UACGGGGGGGGUAAGCGUUGUUCGGAAUUACUGGGCGUAAAGGGUUCGUAGGUGGCCAACUAAGUCAGACGUGAAAUCCCUCAGCUUAACUGGGGAACUGCGUCUGAUACUGAUUGGCUUGAGUGCAGGAGAGGAACGCGGAAUUCCAGGUGUAGCGGUGAAAUGCGUAGAUAUCUGGAGGAACACCGGUGGCGAAGGCGGCGUUCUGGACUGCAACUGACACUGAGGAACGAAAGCCAGGGGAGCAAACGGG
rnacentral:rRNA from 1 species